GGGAGUUGCACACUAUCCAUUACCUUUGCUUUUUAGUCUUGUUAGUUUGCUUUCUAGUUUUUGCUUUAGAGUCUUAUACCCAAAAACCACACAAAAAUAGUUACUUUGCCUUGUCGGUAUGCCUAAAUCCUUUGCCUCUAGUGAUGCACCCGAAGGAGAGAUUCUCUCCUUCAAACAAAGGGUUGGAGAAAGUUUGAAAGAUGCUUGGUAUAGAAUUAAAAAUUCUCAAGAUAGAG
rnacentral:lncRNA from 1 species